UAAACCAUGAGUAAGCCGAAAAAUUUGAAUUGCAUCUGCCCUGUUUUCACGAGCACGUAGAUCUGGUAUUUUGAGUAUUUCAAGACGUUGUUCAUAUGAAACUUGUGUUAAACAGUGUGUCCAUCUAGUUACCAGGUGCUGAGUUCUUUCCAGCAAAUCAAUAUCCUUUAACAAAUAAGGUCUCCAGACUGGAAUGGCAAAUUCCAAAUGCGGCCUUAUGUAAGUGAUGUACACCUUUGAAAUAAAACUGACUGAAGGAUUUGGAAAAACAUGCUUUAGCAAAUAAAACAUUUUACGCGCUCGACCCACUGAUGCUAGACAUUGCUCUGACCAUCCUAACUUAUCAUUUACAAUGACCCCUAGAUCUUUGGUUGAGGUUUUUACACUCAGGAGUGUGCCAUUUAUAUGGUAAAGGUACUUUGGGUUGUUGUGGCCACACUGAAGUACACAGCAUUUUGCAAUAUUCAGUGGUAUUUGCCACUUCUCGCUCCAUUGGAAAAUUAAAUUAAGUUGGUCUUGCAAGUCCGUGACAAGUGGGUUAGCAAAUAACUUAAUAUCAUCCGCAUAUGCUGAAUAGCUGUCUAGUGAAAACAAUAAAUCUGCUGUAUAUAACAAGAAUAAAAUUGGUCCAAGAACUGAUCCCUGUGGGACCCCACUUAAUACUGGUUUAGAGUACGAAAAUUUACCGCAGACUUUUACACAAUAGUUUCGAUUUGAUAGAAACGCUCGGAUCCAAUCAAGCAAAUUUCCUGUUACACCAUAGGACUCCAGUUUUGCUAACAAGAGAUUGUGAGGGACUUUAUCAAAGGCUUUACUAAAAUCAAGAUUUGUGCAGGAUAGCAAAUUUGUGACAACUGACCUACCUGGUAAAAAGCCGUGCUGAUGCUCAGCAUGUCGACGUGAGACUUACAGGUCUAUAGUUAGCAGGAUCAAGUUUAUCUCCUGACUUGUACAAAGGCGUGAUUGUUGCUUGCAACCACUCGUAGGGCAAAGUGCCUUGUAAGAAUGAUUUUCUCAUCAUUUUGGCAAGUGGGCCCGACAACGAAGCAUCACAAGUUCUCAGGAGUUUGGGAGGUAUCUGAUCCGGACCUGGAGCUGUAUUUAAUUUAAUGGCACAGAGUUGGCUUUUUACCAGAUCCGGAGUAAAAUUAAUAUAAGACAACCCACUA